AAGGUUGCAACAUGUUUCAAUUGUCUCAGGCUUUCAGCGUUCGCUCGUCAAUUACAGAACAAAGGAGGAUAUGAUAUUGCGUCAUAAGAGGUUUUUGCUGUUCGUUUCGAGCAUUGGUCUUGCGUCCCGUCAGCGCUUCAGAGACAUCGCUUUCGCCGAAAUUCAGUGAAUUUUGAAGUCCACCAUUAUCGUGGGUCACCAGAAGAACUCAGACUGCAACCCGUCAUUGACUGUCUAUUGUGCGACGCGACACUGUGUGGCAUAAAGCAUGCGUACGUGUGGAAUACUUCGCUACUGUGUGCGCGGGAUGUUUUGUAUGAUUGUGUCGACACUGGAUACC